rnacentral:rRNA from 1 species
AGGUAUCAGAAGUGCGAAUGCUGACAUAAGUAACGAUAAAGCGGGUGAAAAGCCCGCUCGCCGGAAGACCAAGGGUUCCUGUCCAACGUUAAUCGGGGCAGGGUGAGUCGACCCCUAAGGCGAGGCCGAAAGGCGUAGUCGAUGGGAAACAGGUUAAUAUUCCUGUACUUGGUGUUACUGCGAAGGGGGGACGGAGAAGGCUAUGUUGGCCGGGCGACGGUUGUCCCGGUUUAAGCGUGUAGGCUGGUUUUCCAGGCAAAUCCGGAAAAUCAAGGCUGAGGCGUGAUGACGAGGCACUACGGUGCUGAAGCAACAAAUGCCCUGCUUCCAGGAAAAGCCUCUAAGCAUCAGGUAACAUCAAAUCGUACCCCAAACCGACACAGGUGGUCAGGUAGAGAAUACCAAGGCGCUUGAGAGAACUCGGGUGAAGGAACUAGGCAAAAUGGUGCCGUAACUUCGGGAGAAGGCACGCUGAUAUGUAGGUGAAGUCCCUCGCGGAUGGAGCUGAAAUCAGUCGAAGAUACCAGCUGGCUGCAACUGUUUAUUAAAAACACAGCACUGUGCAAACACGAAAGUGGACGUAUACGGUGUGACGCCUGCCCGGUGCCGGAAGGUUAAUUGAUGGGGUCAGCGCAAGCGAAGCUCUUGAUCGAAGCCCCGGUAAACGGCGGCCGUAACUAUAACGGUCCUAAGGUAGCGAAAUUCCUUGUCGGGUAAGUUCCGACCUGCACGAAUGGCGUAAUGAUGGCCAGGCUGUCUCCACCCGAGACUCAGUGAAAUUGAACUCGCUGUGAAGAUGCAGUGUACCCGCGGCAAGACGGAAAGACCCCGUGAACCUUUACUAUAGCUUGACACUGAACAUUGAGCCUUGAUGUGUAGGAUAGGUGGGAGGCUUUGAAGUGUGGACGCCAGUCUGCAUGGAGCCGACCUUGAAAUACCACCCUUUAAUGUUUGAUGUUCUAACGUGGACCCGUGAUCCGGGUUGCGGACAGUGUCUGGUGGGUAGUUUGACUGGGGCGGUCUCCUCCUAAAGAGUAACGGAGGAGCACGAAGGUUGGCUAAUCCUGGUCGGACAUCAGGAGGUUAGUGCAAUGGCAUAAGCCAGCUUGACUGCGAGCGUGACGGCGCGAGCAGGUGCGAAAGCAGGUCAUAGUGAUCCGGUGGUUCUGAAUGGAAGGGCCAUCGCUCAACGGAUAAAAGGUACUCCGGGGAUAACAGGCUGAUACCGCCCAAGAGUUCAUAUCGACGGCGGUGUUUGGCACCUCGAUGUCGGCUCAUCACAUCCUGGGGCUGAAGUAGGUCCCAAGGGUAUGGCUGUUCGCCAUUUAAAGUGGUACGCGAGCUGGGUUUAGAACGUCGUGAGACAGUUCGGUCCCUAUCUGCCGUGGGCGCUGGAGAACUGAGGGGGGCUGCUCCUAGUACGAGAGGACCGGAGUGGACGCAUCACUGGUGUUCGGGUUGUCAUGCCAAUGGCACUGCCCGGUAGCUAAAUGCGGAAGAGAUAAGUGCUGAAAGCAUCUAAGCACGAAACUUGCCCCGAGAUGAGUUCUCCCUGACCCUUUAAGGGUCCUGAAGGAACGUUGAAGACGACGACGUUGAUAGGCCGGGUGUGUAAGCGCAGCGAUGCGUUGAGCUAACCGGUACUAAUGAACCGUGAGGCUUAACCUU